AACCUGCCUGGUAGCGGGGGAUAACUAUUGGAAACGAUAGCUAAUACCGCAUAAGAGUAGAUGUUGCAUGACAUUUGCUUAAAAGGUGCAACUGCAUCACUACCAGAUGGACCUGCGUUGUAUUAGCUAGUUGGUGAGGUAACGGCUCACCAAGGCGACGAUACAUAGCCGACCUGAGAGGGUGAUCGGCCACACUGGGACUGAGACACGGCCCAG
rnacentral:rRNA from 1 species